CUAGGAUUUUCAAAAAAUCGCUUUUUUUUUUUUUGCUUUAAAUAGUUCCUUAGGGUCUCAGAAAUAACAUAUUGCAGGAUUAUGGCUCGGAAAGAUCUCUAAAUAAUUUAUUUUCGAAGUUCCUUGCAAGGCUGCACGGUACGCGGCGAGCUCAUUUUGUAUGUUCUACGGGGGGUAAUAUUUGAAGGAUCUACAGCAGGUAUACGGCAGAUGUUUUCAAAGGCGCUAGUUACUUGCUAGACUAUAGUGGUCAAUUAUAUGGUGCAGGCAUUGCAGAUUAAAGGAGCAGUUAGUUCGGCCACGUACCCCUUGAACCAUAGAGGAGUCGAAGGACGACCGCUACAGCGCCACCAUUCUUCAAGAAAUAUUUAUAAGAAAUUAUUUUUUUACACCUAAAAAGAUGUAUAAUAAACUUCUUAUAUUAUAUUUUUAA